rnacentral:rRNA from 1 species
GACGUAGGGUGCGAGCGUUGUCCGGAUUUAUUGGGCGUAAAGAGCUCGUAGGCGGCUCGUCGCGUCGACCGUGAAAACUUGGGGCUUAACCCUAAGCUUGCGGUUGAUACGGGCGGGCUAGAGUUCGGUAGGGGAGACUGGAAUUCCUGGUGUAGCGGUGAAAUGCGCAGAUAUCAGGAGGAACACCGGUGGCGAAGGCGGGUCUCUGGGCCGCAACUGACGCUGAGGAGCGAAAGCAUGGGGAGCGAACAGG